rnacentral:rRNA from 1 species
CGUAGAGAAAUUUACGCUAAUACCGCAUAAUGACUCCGGUCCAAAGAUUUAUCGCCUAAGGAUUAGCCCGCGUCUGAUUAGAUAGUUGGUGAGGUAACGGCUCACCAAGUCGACGAUCAGUAGCUGGUCUGAGAGGAUGAUCAGCCACACUGGAACUGAGACACGGUCCAGACUCCUACGGGAGGCAGCAGUGAGGAAUAUUGCGCAAUGGAGGAAACUCUGACGCAGCCAUGCCGCGUGAGUGAAGAAGGCCUUAGGGUUGUAAAGCUCUUUCAAUUGUGAAGAUAAUGACGGUAGCAAUACAAGAAG